rnacentral:rRNA from 1 species
CCCUUAGAUGUCCUGGGCUGCACGCGCGCUACACUGAUGUGUCCAGUAAGCACCUAACCUCUUCCGAAAGGAACGGGUAACCUUUGCAAAGCACAUCGUGAUGGGGAUAGAUUAUUGCAAUUAUUAGUCUUGAACGAGGAAUUCCUAGUAAGCACAAGUCAUCAGCUUGUGUUGAUUACGUCCCUGCCCUUUGUACACACCGCCCGUCGCUCCUACCGAUUGAAUGACUCGGUGAAAAAUUGGGACCGUGAGUCUGUUUGCUUCAUUGCGAGUGGAUCGAUGGGAACUUUUUUAAACCUCGCCAUUUAGAGGAAGGUGAAGUCGUAACA